AUGUUUCCUACUAUCCUUCUAGCUCUAAAUCUAUUAAAUCCCUCAAAUUAUACUCUUUUUUUAAAAGCCUUUCUUCAGCCUUUUCUUAUAGAUCUACUGGAUAUUAUUUCCCAUCUUCAACUCUGUGAUCCAGACAAAUUACAUUUCUCUAUUCUUUUUCCACACAGCACUAACUAUAUGUCUAAAUUACACUUCUUCCUCACCUCUGCCUCAGAAUUCCUCCUUAUGACAUACCUUAAAUUCCAUCUUCUACAGGAGUCUUUCCUGAUUUUCCUAAAUGCUAUUGACCUCUCUCCCAAAGGAUCCUUGACUCACAUCAAGAUUCAGGUGCUAUCUCCUAUGAUGGUAGCCCGGAGGACAUGGCAACAGUUCUGUAUGAAAAGAUUAAUGGUCGCCAGAAACAAGUUGCAUUGUCUAGCAAAGACUUGAGUAAUAAUGAGACACCAUAUGUAUGUUGGAGUUCUGGCUUUUGAAUGAUCAAUAAAUAAGAAGUUCAAAAACUAUUUAUAUGUGGC
rnacentral:lncRNA from 1 species